ACCCGCACAAGCGGUGGAUGAUGUGGAUUAAUUCGAUGCAACGCGAAGAACCUUACCUACCCUUGACAUGUCCGGAAUCCCGAAGAGAUUUGGGAGUGCUCGCAAGAGAACCGGAACACAGGUGCUGCAUGGCUGUCGUCAGCUCGUGUCGUGAGAUGUCGGGUUAAGUCCCGCAACGAGCGCAACCCUUGUCAUUAGUUGCCAUCAUUUGGUUGGGCACUCUAAUGAGACUGCCGGUGACAAACCGGAGGAAGGUGGGGAUGACGUCAAGUCCUCAUGGCCCUUAUAGGUGGGGCUACACACGUCAUACAAUGGAUGGUACAAAGGGUCGCCAACCCGCGAGGGGGAGCCAAUCCCAUAAAGCCAUUCGUAGUCCGGAUCGCAGUCUGCAACUCGACUGCGUGAAGUCGGAAUCGCUAGUAAUCGCGGAUCAGCAUGUCGCGGUGAAUACGUUCCCGGGUCUU
rnacentral:rRNA from 1 species